rnacentral:tRNA from 97 species
GCCGCCAUGGUGAAAUUGGUAGA